rnacentral:rRNA from 1 species
GUGUCAGCCACCGCGGUAAGACGUAGGGGGCAAGCGUUACCCGGAAUUACUGGGCGUAAAGCGUGCGCAGGCGGUUAUAUAAGUCAGAUGUGAAAUCCCCGGGCUCAACCUGGGACCUGCAUUUGAGACUGUAUAGCUAGAGUACGGCAGAGGGGGAUGGAAUUCCGCGUGUAGCAGUGAAAUGCGUAGAUAUGCGGAGGAACACCGAUGGCGAAGGCAAUCCCCUGGGCCUGUACUGACGCUCAUGCACGAAAGCGUGGGGAGCAAACAGGAUUAGAUACCCUGGUAGUCCACGCCCUAAACGAUGUCAACUGGUUGUUGGGUCUUCACUGACUCAGUAACGAAGCUAACGCGUGAAGUUGACCGCCUGGGGAGUACGUCCGCAAGGAUGAAACUCAAAGGAAUUGGCGG